UCCGGUUCUCAUGCCAUCACCGAAGUUAAGCAAUGUCGUGCUUGGUCAGUACCUAGAUGGCUGACCUCUUGGGAAUUCCAGGUGCUC